CACCAUUGACCGUUGGCCUAGGCAGUGGCUUGGCUGUCGCCAUUUGCCAUCUCGCGAUGCUACUUGAUGUCACACACUGUGAAGCUAAGGUAGCCCUAGUUGUUCCUUCUUAGGAUACACUUCUAUUCUGGACGUUUAACUAUUUGUUACUUUCAACCAAACAAGUACAAUCUCAUUAACAAUAUACUCUCUCACAAAGUGACAGAUUAUUUGCCACUCACGAUCCUCUGAAGUGGCAAAGGUUAAAAAAAAAUAUCUCUUCCUCGUCUCAACUCUCAACCUAUAUAUCUUCCCACUCCUACCUUACGUUAGAAUCCAAUCUUAGUUUGUCGUCUAGGAAGAAGGUUUUGGUUGACUAAAAUGAGAAAUGCCAUGGUUAUUGUAGUUGGUGGGCACAGGUUAAACAUUGGGAGUUCAACGAAUUAGUGUACAGAGAAGAGGCAUAUGGAGGUUGAACAUGUUACAAGAAACCAAUGAUAAUAUCAGUUGCCUAAAAAAAAGCUAU
rnacentral:sRNA from 1 species